UUUUUAUUUCUGAUUGAAAACUGAUGUCAUUUGGAGUGUGUUUGAGCUUGUGCUUGGAAGUUUGAUGAUUAUGGAUGCAAGUUUGUUCAUGUUCCAAACACCAUAAGUUUGCAUUGGUCUUUUGUAUGCAGUAGGUGUGUGUGAGUUUGUAUUCAAUAAUGAUGAAAAAAGAGAGAGUUUAGAUUGUUGUAACAUGAGAGAAAUGGAAGGUAUAUGAAUGUGUUUUUUGUGUAGCUUCACGAAUAUGGUCAUUGUCUUACUUGGGUCUUAUUGAAUCAUUUCUAUAUUACAGAUAAAAUGGCUAGUAACCAAGACGAUACCCAUGACGCGAGUGGAUCACGUAACAAUGUUGAAAAAGAAAUCAAACGAGGAUUGACUGUUAUGAAGUCA
rnacentral:lncRNA from 1 species